UACGUAGGUGGCAAGCGUUGUUCGGAAUUAUUGGGCGUAAAGGGCGCGUAGGCGGCAUGUUAAGUCGGCUGUGAAAGCCUGGGGCUCAACCCCAGAGGGUCGGCCGAUACUGGCAAGCUAGAGUACGGAAGAGGUAGCUGGAAUUCCCGGUGUAGCGGUGAAAUGCGUAGAUAUCGUAAGGAAGACCAGUGGCGAAGGCGGGUCUCUGGACAGUUCCUGACGCUGAGGCACGAAGGCCAGGGGAGCAAACGGG
rnacentral:rRNA from 1 species